rnacentral:lncRNA from 1 species
UUCGGGGGCAGGCUUCGGCAGCCGAAACUGCCUCCACAAGGGGGUUCGGCGGCCGAAAGUCACUUCGGCGGCCGAACCUGAGUUUCUGCCGAAGGGCAGAAACUUGGUUCCCUUGUGUCCACAGCCUCCAAAACGCCUCAAAACAUGCAUAAACUUGUUUCUAAACAUGCAUACACAUCAUACAUCACACCUAGGGGUCUCAAACUAUAAAAUACCCCAACUACAACACUUCAAACACAUAAACAUCAACAUACAUUGUUCAUCAAAGCAUCACAACCCAUAAGCUCAUAAACCUAACAACAAGCCUAAACAUGCAUUCUACCCCAUCAACUUGCAUAAAACUUUCAUAAAGCAUAAGAGAAGCAUAGAUCGAAGCUUACCUCUUGAAGAAACGAGAGGAAAGGCGAUCCUAGCUUGGAGAUGGAGAGAUUGAGCUCUUUGAACCUCCAAGUACCCAAAACUUGCUCUUAGUUCACAGAUCUUCAAAAAGGAAGUUAAAACUCGUGAAAACCAUGAAAGAUCUAGGGAAAACAUUCAAGAUUGAGGGAGGAGCGGCGGAGACUCACCUUGGCCGACAAUGGGAGAGAAAAAGCUCACCCGUGCAGACCAAAGGGACCCUUUUAUAUGUGGCUGGCCAGGCCACGUUCGGGGGCCGAAUGUGCCUCCGUAUCCAUGCAAUGUUCGGCGGCCGAACAUAAGGUUCGGCGGCCGAACCUGCACUUCCCUCACUCAUGCUUUCGGGGGCCUAACGUGCCUCCUAAUCACAUGCAUGUUCGGCGGCCGAAACUCAAGUUCGGCGGCCGAACCUGGGUUUUCCUUCAAGCUACAUUCAUGCAAAAACUCAUUUAAUUUCUUACUUAAAAACAUGAAAUACAUGAAAACAUUUCAUAAAAUCAUAGUUUUACCCUUCUAGAGGUUUCCGACAUCCGUGGUCCCACCGGACGGUAGGGAUUCCGAUACCGGAGUCUAGCCGGGUAUUACAAU